GAAAAAUAGAAAUAUCUAUUUAAAAAAUUUGAUUUGGAUCAUUGCUGAUUGUGAAGAAAGGAAGAGCUGAACUUUUUUGAGGAUUUAUCUUGGAAAACUUGGACAGUUAAGAAGUGUCUGUCUCUGACCUUUAUACAGCUGUGGUAAAGACAUCACACUCCCAGUCGUCCUACGUAGAAACAACCUGGAAUCACAAACAGCAAAUAAUGGCGGCACCCAUGAUAAAAACAAAUUGCCUUUACAGAAAGAGGAGCUCCUCCAUCAGGCUUACCAAAAUGUACAGUAGCUGCAUAUUCCUUAAAAAUGAUGAAGAAGCACCACAGGAAGCCUAUAUCUUGAUUCCAUUUUUUACAGAUUUAAUCCUACUAAGAAAAAUUGAGUGAUCCUCUUCCGAUGGAUAUGGUUAUGGAGCAUUUUCAGCCAAGACAUUGA